GUGUUCUACUCUACUCUUCAUUCAAUUCUCACAGUGCAGAGCAAUCUAUACUCUAAAUAUAUAUAGCUAUAUAUAUACCCUCUUUGGCUUUCUAUACUUGUUUUCCAUUUAAGAUGAGUUGCUUUAAGAAUCUUGUCUUAAACAUGGUUUUGCUAUUUGUGAUUCUCUUAUCAAUGAAUCUCGCAAUAGCAAGACAGCCCCUUUGGAUAUCAGAGCCUCACUACACACAUGGACGCCUCCUUUACCAUGAUCAACCAGCAAGAGGCCACAAUUAUGACGUCCCUAAGGGAAAGUGAAGCGGAGGUGGGUUGGGUUUCAAGGAGAAAAGUUUACUGUGGAGAAGCAGAUGUAUAACUGCAUAUGUACUAUGUUACUUUGUUUUGGAAUUACGAUUUCCUUUGAGUGUCGUCAAUAAUAUUAAUAAAUUCAGCUCAACUGUGGAGACUUAGGUCUUAAAGUCUUAAUGAGUCAAGCUGUGAUAAGAUGUGUCAUCAAAAUUAUUAGACUAAAAUUUUAUGUUUAUGUUUAUGUACGUUUACUUCUUGUGUUUGGCCUCAUGUUAAUUAUUUUUGAAUUGUAAUAGUCUUCGUUAGCCACUCGGUUUUA